GUCAGUGUGGUGUAGUGGUUUGAGCAUUGGACUAGAACUCUGGAGAACAAAGUUCAAACCCCUGCUCAGCCA
rnacentral:tRNA from 1 species